GCCCUCUUAGCUCAGUGGUAGAGCGUGUCACUCGUACGGAGGCUACAUGACAAGGUCAGUCGUUCAAGUCGGCUAGGGGGCA